GGGGAGAGAAGGGCGGGAUGUUACCAUCUGCCACAGACCAGAGUGGUUCGUGAAUACUCACUGAACUCACAGCUUGGGUUACUACGCUGACUGUCAUUAAUCAGACAGCUAGCAAGCUAGCAACUGCGGGAGCUAACCUGAAAGAGCUUGGGGGCAGCAGGGAGACUAACGACAUCGAACGAUCAGCAGCACUUCUGAGGUAGCUGAGCGGGCUUAUCGGUCAGUCUGGUGGUCUUGGUGCCGGGAGCCGCCGGCGCCUCCACGUCCACGCGCUCUGACAUCUUCACACAGAUGAUGUCCACCAGGCGCUCGAAGACCUGCCGCACGUUGAUGUUCUCCUUGGCACUCGCCUCGUAAUACUCAAAGCCUGCGGGAAGAACCGGAAGAGUUAAGCAUUUUGAUACGUAUACACGCAGCUUCAGGCAGCCGUGCACAAAGAGCUUCACGAACAUCACGAUGCAAGCAUUUUCUCAGCGGUAAAGUGGUCAUUUAAGGAACUAAAACUGACAAUAAUUUUCUCAGUAAUUUUCACAGACCUGAUUAGCUGCUUUGUUUGUCAGAGUGUUGGUGGGCAUGAAGAUAAAUCUGAUGGUCACUGGAUAAUUAACAGAAUAGAACAGGUUUUAAAAACAUACCAUUAUGUUUACUUUUAAAACUUUUCUCUAAUAAUUCCUCCCACCUUUUCACACCUCUAAAGUUCUUCAAAUUGAGCAAUCACUUUUGAACUGGUCCUGAUUCAGAGUUGUAUUAAGUCUGUGCCACAUGUUGAUAUUGAUAUUUUUUGGUUUGUAAAGUAACAUCGUUGGUCUUACAAAGACUGUUUUCUG